rnacentral:lncRNA from 1 species
ACCGAAUAAAAAAAGAGAAGCAGUCUUGAAAAUCCCAUCGCGAUUGCGUCUCUCUCCUCUGUGAAAACUUUUAUCUAUGAAGGUUUAUGCAGAGAUACACGCGUUUAUAGGGAAGAAGAAGAAAACAUUAAUAUAUUGUUGAAUUGAAGUGAGACUCUUUGAAUUUUCUGCAUUAUCAAUUGAAUCAAGAUUUUAAUAUUAAUAUUUAUAACGCAAAUUGUUGGUAUAUAUGCAGGGCAUUUUGGGACGUGAAUUGGUCAGGGCUCCCUGGAAACUGAUACAUCAAAUAUCAUUAAGGGUAAAUGAGGAAAUAUAGGGACAAGCGUUUACAGGCAAGCUAUUUGUAUCUCUCUUUUUU